UUCGGGAGCAAGUGCUUCGGGAAUUGGGGUUCAGAGACGUAUUUAAAAAAGUGAAGAGUACUGAGCCCAUAACAAUCUCCAAGCGCUAAUGAUGAUCUGAGUACUUUGGCGGAGUUACAAGUAAAAUUUUCUCAAAAUAAGCUUGAUGAGCUCAGAGACUUGUGGAUCAAAUAUGUGGAUGAAUAUAAACAAGUGGAUGAAGAAUAAUCGGAAGAUAAUGACCAUUUUAUUAGGAUGUGUGUGUAUUUUCUUUUUAAGCGGGAUUAGUGAGUGCUUCUAUUUUUGUGCACAUGAAUUGGAAGAAACAGGCCUAGGUAAUCUAUUUUUUUUUUAUGACUUAGUUGAAUUUUUGGAAUAUUCUAACAUUAUAUUGAUAUGCAUGUGAUUUUGUAGUGAAUGAUAUUGAAUGAACGAAAAGGUAUUCCAAUUUUAAAGUCAUCAGAAUUAUCUCGAUAUAAGUGCCUAGAUGUUCUAUAUAUAUGUAAAUUAUUUGUAAAUUA